UACGUAGGGGGCAAGCGUUGGUCCGGAAUCAUUGGGCGUAAAGAGCGUGUAGGCGGCUUGGCAAGUCUCGCGUGAAAUCCUGCGGCUCAACCGCAGGCGGUCGCGGGAAACUGCCUCGCUAGAGUCCGGAAGAGGAGAGUGGAAUUCCUGGUGUAGCGGUGGAAUGCGCAGAUAUCAGGAAGAACACCCGUGGCGAAGGCGGCUCUCUGGGACGGUACUGGACGCUGAGACGCGAAAGCGUGGGGAGCGAACAGG
rnacentral:rRNA from 1 species